rnacentral:lncRNA from 1 species
CCCAGGCGUCCGGGUUCGGUUUGCGUCGUUUCCGUCAACAACGGGGCGGGGGAGCUUUUGUUGUUUUGGGGCUUUCUGUCGUUUUUUUUGGUUUUUAAAGCUAUUUAAUAAACUUCAUUAGCCUCAGCUCAGCACCGUGUCAUGGCUACCGGGGGGCCCAGGCGUCCGGGCAGGGAGGAGGCGGCCGGCAGCGCUGCGCGUCCCUUUAAUUCAUCCCAGGGCGCCAGCGCGAUAACGGUACGUUAAUAAUUCCAUUAACGAUGCUAACGAGGUGGCUGCGGCUGUGGGGGGGGUAAUUAGGGGGCGCUAACGAAGCGCCCGGGGGCAGCAACACCGGCUGGGGCGGCAAAACCCGGAGCUGGAGCUGGGGUAAAACCAGGAUCUGGAUCCAGGUCACAGGGCAAAACCCGGAGCUGGAGCUGGGGUAAAACCGGGAUCUGGAUCCUAGCAGACAGUAAAACCCGGAGCCGGCUCAGGGCCCAAACUGGGAUGGGACUGUGGCUGCAGGGAAAACCCGGAGAAGAAGCCCAGGAUCGGGCUGGUCCCAUCUUGUGGCUGGAGGUAAAACCUGGUGGGGAUCCAGGAGCCAGGCCGGAUUAGGGCUUGCUCCCAUGGUGGGAAGGAAAACCCGGCUGGAGCCCGGAUUGGCUCCCAGCUGGAGGCAAAACUCGGCCAGGACUUUGGACAGGGCUGACCCGGGGCCCGGAAUUAGGGCGGGAGAUAAAACCCGGCCAAAAUCAGGGAUGAGACCGUGACCAGCCCCACGGUUAGAGGAAAACCUGACCUGGAUUUGGGUCUGGGUCAGGGUUGGAGCCAAAACCUGGGCAGGAUCGCAGCGUGGAUCCGGGUUGGAACCGAAACCCAUCCUGGACUGUUGCCUGGGUCCCAGUGGAAAGCAAGAUCCGAGCUGGAUUGCGUCCUGGAGCCUGGUUGGAACCAAAACUUGUCCUGGAUUACAGCCCAGAUCGGUGCUGAAAGCAAAAUCCGUGCUGGAUUGUGUCCUGGAGCCGUGCUGGAGCCAAAACUUGUCCUGGAUUACAGCCCAGAUCCGUGCUGAAAGCAAAAUCCGUGCUGGAUUGUGUCCUGAAGCCGUGCUGGAGCCAAAACCCAUGCUGGAUCACGUUCUGGAUCCGUGUCGGAGCCAAGACCUGUCCUGGAUCACAUCGGGGACCCGCAUCAGAACCAAGACCCGUGCCGGAUCCCGUCGGGGAUCCGUGCUGGAGCCCAGCCCCGCGCUGGACAGCGUCGGGGAAGCGCGCGUGCCGUGUCCGCGUGCCCGUGUCUGCGUCCCGCGUGCCGCCGCCAUCGUCCGCGUGCUCAGGAGGCGCCGCCGUCGGCCAGGCCGCGCAGCCAGGCGACGGUGCGGUCGCGCGC